rnacentral:rRNA from 1 species
GACGAACGCUGGCGGCGUGCCUAAUACAUGCAAGUUGAGCGAUGAAGAUUGGUGCUUGCACCAAUUUGAAGAGCAGCGAACGGGUGAGUAACGCGUGGGGAAUCUGCCUUUGAGCGGGGGACAACAUUUGGAAACGAAUGCUAAUACCGCAUAACAACUUUAAACAUAAGUUUUAAGUUUGAAAGGUGCAAUUGCAUCACUCAAAGAUGAUCCCGCGUUGUAUUAGCUAGUUGGUGAGGUAAAGGCUCACCAAGGCGAUGAUACAUAGCCGACCUGAGAGGGUGAUCGGCCACAUUGGGACGGAGACACGGCCCAAACGCCUACGGGAGGCAGCAGUAGGGAAUCUUCGGCAAUGGACGAAAGUCUGACCGAGCAACGCCGCGUGAGUGGAGAAGGUUUUCGGAUCGUAAAACUCUGUUGGUAGAGAAGAACGUUGGUGAGAGUGGAAAGCUCAUCAAGUGACGGUAACUACCCAGAAAGCGACGGCUAACUACGUG